rnacentral:misc_RNA from 1 species
CGCCGAAGUAUUGCUUCAUCAAGUUCUGAUGGGCGAUUUGUUGCAGCAAGAACCAUCACUUGCGCAUUCUGGUCUGUCGUAAACCCAUCCCACAAAGCCAUGAACUCAGUCUUCAUAUUUGUUAAUGCCUCGUGAUCUGUAGUUCGGCGCUGCCCCAAGAAACUGUCAACCUCAUCAAUAAAUAUAAUAGCAGGCUGAAGUUUAUAAGCCAGGCUAAAAAC